GACGAACGCUGGCGGCGUGCUUAACACAUGCAAGUCGAACGGAAAGGCCCUGCUUUUGUGGGGUGCUCGAGUGGCGAACGGGUGAGUAACACGUGAGUAACCUGCCCUUGACUUUGGGAUAACUUCAGGAAACUGGGGCUAAUACCGUAUCGGAGCUCCUGCUCCAUGGUGGGGGUUGGAAAGUUUCGGCGUUUGGGGGUGGACUCGCGGCUUAUCAGCUUGUUGGUGGGUAGUGGCUUACCAAGGCUUUGGCGGGUAGCCGGCCUGAGAGGGUGACCGGCCACAUGGGGACUGAGAUACGGACCAGACUCGUACGGGAGGCAGAAGGGGGGAAUAUUGCACAAUGGGCGGAAGCCUGAUGCAGCAACGCCGCGUGCGGGAUGACGGCCUUCGGGUUGUAAACCGCUUUCGCCUGUGACGAAGCGUGAGUGACGGUAAUGGGUAAAGAAGCACCGGCUAACUACGUG
rnacentral:rRNA from 1 species